rnacentral:rRNA from 1 species
UCGAACGGAUUUUUGUCGUAGCUUGCUAUGAUAAAAAUUAGUGGCAGACGGGUGAGUAAUGCAUAGGAAUCUACCUAGUAGUAUGGGAUAGCCACUAGAAAUGGUGGGUAAUACUGUAUAAUCCCUGCGGGGGAAAGAUUUAUCGCUAUUAGAUGAGCCUAUGUUAGAUUAGCUAGUUGGUAGGGUAAAGGCCUACCAAGGCAGUGAUCUAUAGCUGGUCUGAGAGGAUGAUCAGCCACACUGGAACUGAGAUACGGUCCAGACUCCUACGGGAGGCAGCAGUGGGGAAUAUUGGACAAUGGGCGCAAGCCUGAUCCAGCUAUGCCGCGUGAGUGAGGAAGGCCUUAGGGUUGUAAAACUCUUUCAGUGGGGAAGAUAAUGACGGUACCCACAGAAGAAGUCCCGGCAAACU